rnacentral:rRNA from 1 species
AUUCCAGCUCCAAUAGCGUAUAUUAAAGUUGUUGCAGUUAAAAAGCUCGUAGUUGGACUUCUGGCAGGGCGCCGCGUGCCACAGUAGUGCGCACAAGGGCCCGGCCAUCCUUCUGUAAACGUCGGGGAAGUUUAUUCGUCCGCGGCGGGAUCAGUUAAUUUACCUUGAGAAAAUUAGAGUGUUUCAGGCAGGCGUAGCCGGAAUACAUUAGCAUGGAAUAAUGGAAUAGGACUUAGUCUCUCUGUUGGUUCGAGGGACUGGAGUAAUGAUUAAUAGGGAUAGUUGGGGGCAUUAGUAUUUAUUAGCUAGAGGUGGAAUUCUCUAGUUUGAUAAAGACUAACUUAUGCGAAAGCAUUUGCCAAGGAUGUUUUCAUUA